rnacentral:tRNA from 1 species
GCCGAAAUAGCUCAGUUGGGAGAGCGUUAGACUGAAGAUCUAAAGGUCCCUGGUUCGAUCCCCGGGUUCAGCA